rnacentral:rRNA from 1 species
UGGCGGCAGGCCUAACACAUGCAAGUCGAGCGGUAGAGAGAAGCUUGCUUCUCUUGAGAGCGGCGGACGGGUGAGUAAUGCCUAGGAAUCUGCCUGGUAGUGGGGGAUAACGUUCGGAAACGGACGCUAAUACCGCAUACGUCCUACGGGAGAAAGCAGGGGACCUUCGGGCCUUGCGCUAUCAGAUGAGCCUAGGUCGGAUUAGCUAGUUGGUGAGGUAAUGGCUCACCAAGGCGACGAUCCGUAACUGGUCUGAGAGGAUGAUCAGUCACACUGGAACUGAGACACGGUCCAGACUCCUACGGGAGGCAGCAGUGGGGAAUAUUGGACAAUGGGCGAAAGCCUGAUCCAGCCAUGCCGCGUGUGUGAAGAAGGUCUUCGGAUUGUAAAGCACUUUAAGUUGGGAGGAAGGGUUGUAGAUUAAUACUCCGCAAUUUUGACGUUACCGACAGAAUAAGCACCGGCUAACUCUGUGCCAGCAGCCGCGGUAAUACAGAGGGUGCAAGCGUUAAUCGGAAUUACUGGGCGUAAAGCGCGCGUAGGUGGUUUGUUAAGUUGGAUGUGAAAUCCUCGGGCUCAACCUGGGAACUGCAUUCAAAACUGACUGACUAGAGUAUGGUAGAGGGUGGUGGAAUUUCCUGUGUAGCGGUGAAAUGCGUAGAUAUAGGAAGGAACACCAGUGGCGAAGGCGACCACCUGGACUAAUACUGACACUGAGGUGCGAAAGCG